UGCCGCCACUCACAAUCAAAAGAAAAAAAGGGUCACCAAAGAUCUCCUGUUCGGCCAUCUCACUCCGAUGGCAUCCUCUUCUCUCUUGCAAUCGCCCCCCCCUCUCUCCAUCAAACCCAAAACCCGCACGCCUCCAAAACUCCAUUUCUUUGCGAUCAAAGCCUCCACUCACUCAACCCCAUCUCCAUCUCAACCAUCCCCACCGCAGCCCAUAGUCUCCAAGCCCCGCCGCCCCGCCGACGAGAACAUCCGCGAUGAGGCCCGCCGCAACAACCCCACCCACUCUCACCGCUUCUCCGCCAAGUAUGUCCCCUUCAACGCAGACUCUUCCUCCACCGAGUCCUACUCCCUCGACGAGAUCGUCUACCGCUCCCAAUCCGGCGGCCUCCUCGACGUCCAACACGACAUGGACGCGUUAAAAAACUAUGACGGCAAGUAUUGGCGCGACCUCUUCGACUCCCGCGUGGGCAAGACCACGUGGCCCUACGGAUCCGGUGUCUGGUCCAAGAAGGAGUGGGUCCUCCCGGAGAUCGACAGCGACGACAUCGUCAGCGCCUUCGAGGGAAACUCCAAUCUCUUCUGGGCCGAGCGUUUCGGCAAACAGUUCAUGGGCAUGAGCGAGCUCUGGGUCAAGCACUGCGGGAUCAGCCACACCGGGAGUUUCAAGGAUCUGGGCAUGACCGUCUUGGUCAGCCAGGUCAAUCGCCUCCGCAAAAUGAACCGCCCCGUCUUCGGCGUUGGCUGCGCCUCCACCGGAGACACCUCCGCCGCUCUCUCUGCCUACUGCGCUGCCGCCGGAAUCCCAUCCAUCGUUUUCUUGCCCGCAAAUCGAAUCUCGAUUGCCCAGCUGGUUCAACCCAUCGCCAAUGGCGCUUUCGUUUUGAGUCUCGACACUGAUUUCGACGGCUGUAUGCACCUGAUUCGUGAGGUAACCUCCGAAUUACCCAUUUAUUUAGCGAAUUCGUUGAAUAGUUUGAGACUAGAAGGUCAAAAAACAGCGGCUAUUGAGAUCUUGCAACAGUUUGAUUGGGAAGUACCCGAUUGGGUUAUAGUUCCGGGAGGAAAUCUUGGAAACAUAUAUGCGUUUUACAAAGGGUUCCAUAUGUGUAAAGAAUUAGGCCUUGUUGAUAGGAUUCCCAGGCUUGUUUGUGCUCAAGCGGCUAAUGCGAACCCGCUUUACUUGCACUACAAGUCAGGGUGGAAAGAAUUCAAGUCCAUAAAGGCCAACACAACCUUUGCGUCCGCCAUUCAAAUUGGUGAUCCAGUUUCGAUCGAUAGAGCAGUGUAUGCGCUCAAGAAUUCGAACGGGAUUGUCGAGGAGGCGACUGAGGAGGAGUUGAUGGACGCAAUGGCGCAGGCGGAUUCGACCGGGAUGUUUAUAUGUCCUCAUACUGGGGUGGCUUUGACAGCCUUGAUUAAGCUUAGGAAGAGUGGGGUGAUAGGGCCGACCGAUCGAACCGUGGUGGUGAGCACGGCGCAUGGGUUGAAGUUUACACAGUCGAAGAUUGAUUAUCACUCCAAGGCUAUCAAGGACAUAGCAUGCAGGUUUGCGAACCCACCCGUUCAGGUUAAGGCGGAUUUCGGCUCAGUUAUGGAUGUUUUGAAGAAGUAUCUGCUGAGUAAGGCGCCCAAGCAUUAGGCCUGAUUGUGGCAUUAGGUGUGGCUGUGCAGCCUGAAUGGGCUAAUUCAUAACAACUCUAGUGAUAGAAUAGAUCUAUCCAGUUCCCGUUCCUUUCCAGUGCACUUGUUAAUAUCUCCGUCACUCAAGGACGGACGUGGUGGGAAAGAAGCAGCCCUAGCCUCUGUCCGGCCGAUCACUCCGCUGGCAUCUUGCAUUCAGGACCCUGUUUGACUCUCAUUCAGGGAUGUAUUUCUGAAGUUGCUGCUGAGUGCAUAGUGAAUCUUAGUUAUGUCCUUCAUUCUUAAUGCACAUAUAUUUCUUGGAGAGGAGCCACAUGGGUUGUACAAAGGAUCCACUUCAAAAUCUGCGAAAGUUGUCUCUUGGUGAUUAGAAUACCUCUCAAGAUGAGCGAGGUUGUCUGAAGUUGGCAGGAACUGUGCAGUUUCUUGCUUCAGUUACAAAGAUGCUAUAAUGGGCACGGAUUUGGCACUAGACUUCGCGUGAGUUUAGAAAAGAUCUGCAUGUACACUGCAUGUUAUCUUGGCUUGCAGGAAAUGGAUUCGCUAUUAUCCUACCUGUGGAUGGCUGGAUUCAGAUCUGCAAGAAACCAAUGGUCAGGUGCUGAUUCAUUUUGGCCAACAGAACUUACAAAAUCUGAUAUACUGCACUUUGUUGGGAUUGCUUAGUUAAUUCUUUCUUUGAGUAAACUUCAUAAACUCAGGAAAGCUUAUCACUUUCAUGCCCGUCCAUUUUUCUCCCCUUUAUGGCCUAUUAGUUGCAUAUGAAUUAACCAUCUAUC